GAUGAACGCUGGCGGCGUGCCUAAUACAUGCAAGUCGAGCGAACGGACGAGAAGCUUGCUUCUCUGAUGUUAGCGGCGGACGGUUGAGUAACACUUGGAUAACCUACCUAUAAGACUGGGAUAACUUCGGGAAACCGGAGCUAAUACCGGAUAAUAUUUUGAACCGCAUGGUUCAAAAGUGAAAGACGGUCUUGCUGUCACUUAUAGAUGGAUCCGCGCUGCAUUAGCUAGUUGGUAAGGUAACGGCUUACCAAGGCAACGAUGCAUAGCCGACCUGAGAGGGUGAUCGGCCACACUGGAACUGAGACACGGUCCAGACUCCUACGGGAGGCAGCAGUAGGGAAUCUUCCGCAAUGGGCGAAAGCCUGACGGAGCAACGCCGCGUGAGUGAUGAAGGUCUUCGGAUCGUAAAACUCUGUUAUUAGGGAAGAACAUAUGUGUAAGUAACUGUGCACAUCUUGACGGUACCUAAUCAGAAAGCCACGGCUAACUACGUG
rnacentral:rRNA from 1 species